GAUGAACGCUGGCGGCGUGCCUAAUACAUGCAAGUCGAGCGAAUGGAUUAAGAGCUUGCUCUUAUGAAGUUAGCGGCGGACGGGUGAGUAACACGUGGGUAACCUGCCCAUAAGACUGGGAUAACUCCGGGAAACCGGGGCUAAUACCGGAUAACAUUUUGAACCGCAUGGUUCGAAAUUGAAAGGCGGCUUCGGCUGUCACUUAUGGAUGGACCCGCGUCGCAUUAGCUAGUUGGUGAGGUAACGGCUCACCAAGGCAACGAUGCGUAGCCGACCUGAGAGGGUGAUCGGCCACACUGGGACUGAGACACGGCCAGACUCCUACGGGAGGCAGCAGUAGGGAAUCCUCCGCAAUGGACGAAAGUCUGACGGAGCAACGCCGCGUGAGUGAUGAAGGCUUUCGGGUCGUAAAACUCUGUUGUUAGGGAAGAACAAGUGCUAGUUGAAUAAGCUGGCACCUUGACGGUACCUAACCAGAAAGCCACGGCUAACUACGUGCCAGCCGCCGCGGUAA
rnacentral:rRNA from 1 species